rnacentral:rRNA from 1 species
UACGUAGGGAGCAAGCGUUGUCCGGAAUCAUUGGGCGUAAAGCGCGCGUAGGCGGCCUCAUAAGUCCGUUGUGAAAGUCAAAGGCUCAACCUUUGAAAGCCGAUGGAUACUGUGAGGCUAGAGUCCGGAAGAGGCGAGUGGAAUUCCUGGUGUAGCGGUGGAAUGCGCAGAUAUCAGGAGGAACACCAAUGGCGAAGGCAGCUCGCUGGGACGGUACUGACGCUGAGACGCGAAAGCGUGGGGAGCAAACAGG